rnacentral:tRNA from 1 species
GGGGCUAUAGCUCAGUGGUAGAGUGCUUGCCUUGCAUGUGUGAGGCACUGGGUUCAAUCCUUGGCACCA